rnacentral:rRNA from 1 species
UUUAUGGAGAGUUUGAUCCUGGCUCAGGACGAACGCUGGCGGCGUGCCUAAUACAUGCAAGUCGAGCGGAUGAACCUGAUUGAUUCCUUCGGGAUGACG